rnacentral:rRNA from 1 species
CGGUAAUUCCAGCUCCAAUAGCGUAUACUAAAGUUGUUGCAGUUAAAAAGCUCGUAGUUGGAUUUCUGCGGGGACGGAGCGGCCGGACGCAACUUGCGUCUCGAGCUAGCGCUUUCCCCGCAUCCUGCCGCGAACCGUGCUACCAUUAGUUUGGUGGCGCUGGGGAUCGGCUCGAUUACUUUGAGAAAAAUAGAGUGUUCAAAGCAGGCCACACGCCUUGAAUAAGUUAGCAUGGAAUAAUGACUAAGGACUUUGGUUCUUUUCGUUGGUGUUCGGGACUGAAGUAAUGAUUGAUAGGGACAGUUGGGGCGGUCCAUAUUCCAAAGCGAGAGGUGAAAUUCUUAGACCUUCGGAAGACGAACAGCUGCGAAAGCGUUCCGCAAGGAUGUUCCCUUUGAUCAAGAACGAAAGUUGGGGGAUCGAAGACGAUCAGAUACCGUCGUAGUCUCAACUAUAAACUAUACCAGCUAGGGAUCGGCCAACGUUUAAUUAUUCGACUUGGUCGGCACCUUAUGAGAAAUCAAAGCAUCUGGGUUCCGGGGGGAGUAUGGUCGCAAGGCUGAAACUUAAAGGAAUUGACGGAAGGGCACCACCAGGCGUGGAGCCUGUGGCUUAAUUUGACUCAACACGGGAAAACUUACCAGGUCCAGACAUAGGAAGGAUUGACAGAUUGAUAGCUCUUUCUUGAUUCUGUGGGUGGUGGUGCAUGGCCGUUUUUAGUCGGUGAAGUGAUUUGUCUGCUUAAUUGCGUUAACGGACGAGACCCCAGCCUGCUAAAUAGCGCGGCCGAGCUUUGCUCGGUACGAGCUUCUUAGAGGGACCAUGAUGCGCGAUAGCACAAGGAAGUUUGGGGCAACAACAGGUCUGUGAUGCCCUUAGAUGUUCUGGGCCGCACACGGGCUACACUGGCGCCUGCAACGAGCAUAUCAGCUGGCCCGAGAGGGUCUUGGCUAAUCUUUGGAACCGGCGCCGUGCUUGGGAUUGACCAUUGCAAUUGUUGGUCAUGCAACGAGGAAUGCCUUGUAAACGCGAGUCAUCAGCUCGCAUUGAAUACGUCCCUGCCCUUUGUACACACCGCCCGUCGCUCCUACCGAUGAAUGUUCCGAUGAAAUUUUCGGAGAGCGCCGGAGAACGGGGCUCUGCCCUGCAGAACUGGAGGCUCAAAGUCACUUAAAUCUGAACAUUUCGAGGAAGGAGAAGUCGUAACAAGGUAGCCG